rnacentral:pre_miRNA from 1 species
UAUAAUAUUUUGACUAUUCGUCUUAUUUGAAAUUCUUCUACGAUUAAUAUUUUUGUCUUACUAGAUUAAAAAGCAUCAAUAAUACUUUAUGCGUGACUAAUUUUAAGUUUUUGUAUAAAUUUUUCAAAUAAGAUGAAUAGUCAAACGUUGGACAUAAAAAAAC